rnacentral:rRNA from 1 species
GACGAACGCUGGCGGCGUGCUUAACACAUGCAAGUCGAACGGAAAGGCCCUGCUUUUGUGGGGUGCUCGAGUGGCGAACGGGUGAGUAACACGUGAGUAACCUGCCCUUGACUUUGGGAUAACUUCAGGAAACUGGGGCUUAUACCGGAUAGGAGCUCCUGCUGCAUGGUGGGGGUUGGAAAGUUUCGGCGGUUGGGGAUGGACUCGCGGCUUAUCCGCUUGUUGGUGGGGUAGUGGCUUACCAAGGCUUUGACGGGUAGCCGGCCUGAGAGGGUGACCGGCCACAUGGGUACUGAGAUACGGCCCAGACUCCUACGGGAGGCAGCAGUGGGGAAUAUUGCACAAUGGGCGGAAGCCUGAUGCAGCAACGCCGCGUGCGGGAUGACGGCCUUCGGGUUGUAAACCGCUUUCGCCUGUGACGAAGCGUGAGUGACGGUAAUGGGUAAAGAAGCACCGGCUAACUACGUG